rnacentral:tRNA from 1 species
AAAGAAUUAGUUUAAAAAAAACAUUAAAUUGUCAAUUUAAAAAUAUUUAACACACAAAAAUAUUCUUAU